GGGAGGGGCCACCGCCAAUUACUAAAUAACAUACUGAAUGAAGUUUCCAUUGAAUGCACUCAGAACCACUUGGUAGUAUACUCAAGCCAUCCAUGGCUUUCAUAGGCUCGACACUAGUGAACUUGGAGUCCAGGAUGGCAAGACUGAGAUAAGAGAAGAUUUCAAUAUUAUAAUAAGAGCUACCAGAGGAGGAGCUGCUAGAAAUUUAAACAGAGGUACAAAAGGCCACAUCUGAAGGUUUAAAAGACCAGAAUGGCAACUGAAUGGAACACUGGAAUGAACUGGAAGUUCUUGUGAGCAUGAGAAAAUAAGCAAGUCAUGCUCCCACAGCUUUAAAGGAAGCCAAGGACCUCUGAAGAGUUCUGCAUUCUGCGAAGACAGAGAUCUGAUCUGAGAAAAGUUUGAAGAAGUAACAUCUGAUUCAAGGCUGGAGGACAUCCUAGAGUUUAGAAGGUUGGCGCCCACGUGUUCCUGCCUCCUCUCAUUCCUAAACUGUAAUCUCUGCUCUUUGCUCCUCAGCUUUUAGACAGAGACUAAUGCAGUGAUCACUGCUGCCUUGGGAAGGAGCAGGGUUAGAUACAUACACCUUAGGAAUAAAAGAAAACCUCUCCCUUCUGCAUUUUGUACAAAUAGUCCUGUGCUGGUAUGUUGCACAGGAUCUGCAAAUUAUGUCACAUGUCCUGAUUGAAAGUAUUCAAAAUUCACUGCGGAAAGAGAAUCAAAGGACAGUGAUGGUGGAGAGCUGGGGAGGAGGGACAUCAGUGAAAGUCAAGAAAGGAUGGAUGGAUAAAUCGAGAGAAUGAUGGAUAAGGAGCUUCACAUUUUGUUCAAUGUCCAGGGGUAAAUUUGGGAGAGACAAAGAGGUUAGGGUGUCAAACUCCAGAUGCAAAUCUAGCCAAAGUUUUAGUGAACUCCUUGAACUGCAGUGCUUACCUUUAUUGGAGACAGCCUCUGCUCAGGUUGCCAAACAAAAAUUUGAAAGGAUUUUACAACUUGGCUCAAUAAAUCCUUUCCCAGGGGCUAGUUAGAUACACUUCCCUUCAAAUUUGAAACAUAUUGGAUACUGCAAUAUGGGUGGGCAGGUAAAGGCCAACCAAGGCAAUUGAAAUUAAAUAUGUAUUUCAUUUUUGGAACUUGGCUACCACCAAAAUCCUACUGAGCUUAUAAAGGAAAAAGUAAAAGAUUUUAAACUCUGCUUUUUUGGUUACUUACU